GAAAGUUGAUUUCUGAUUUGAUUUACCAAAAGGAUAUGGGAAACCUGCAUUGAAGCAAUCAAACGGAAGACCAGUGAUUGAAUUAAGCAUUUAUAGUUUAUUUACACUUGCACACCACAAAAAUACCGCCACAUGAGGAAAUGAACUUGCAACAUACGAGCAAACUACCCGCAUUAUUUAAUGAAAGGGAAUUCGACCAUAAGGGGGGUUAAUGGCAAUCCUUUGCAGGCAUAUUGAAACCCAGCAAUCAUUUACCCUUAUCAUCAAUGGAAAGGGAUUAUGUCUUAAAUUAAAUGUCAUUGCAUUUUAACUUGUCUUGUCUUGUCGUAACAUUGUCGUCUAAAACAAUUACGAAAUCAUUAAAAGUCACAGCAACAUCACAAAGUCUUUAAGCCAAAACAACAAACUCAGUCUGCAAGGGACGAAUAAUAAGCGCACAAACCAAAAGGGCCAACGAUAAAAUUGGCCAUAUGAGUACUGGAUUCAUAACCGUUACUUGCAGCAGUAAUAAGGGCAGCAAGUGGGCCCCAUUUUUCAAAAAAAAGAGACCUAUGUAAAUAUGUAAAAUGUAUCAACAUUUCAAGUUGCACAUACCCAUGGUCAUCGUAUCGCAACAAGCAAAUUUCGCAAUCAACAAACUCUAGAGAAGCAUUUCCAGCUAACUGCUCGACUAUUUAAGCCUUUGGCAUUUACAAAGGAAAAGAAAAAAUAAUAAAACAAUUUACAACGUU